rnacentral:tRNA from 2 species
GGGCGGUUAGCUCAGCUGGAUAGAGUGCUACGUUGACAUCGUAGAGGUCGCAGGUUCAAGUCCUGCACCGCCCA